GACGAACGCUGGCGGCGUGCCUAAUACAUGCAAGUAGAACGCUGAAGCUUGGUGCUUGCACCGAGCGGAUGAGUUGCGAACGGGUGAGUAACGCGUAGGUAACCUGCCUGGUAGCGGGGGAUAACUAUUGGAAACGAUAGCUAAUACCGCAUAAGAGUAGAUGUUGCAUGACAUUUGCUUAAAAGGUGCAAUUGCAUCACUACCAGAUGGACCUGCGUUGUAUUAGCUAGUUGGUGAGGUAACGGCUCACCAAGGCAACGAUACAUAGCCGACCUGAGAGGGUGAUCGGCCACACUGGGACUGAGACACGGCCCAGACUCCUACGGGAGGCAGCAGUGGGGAAUCUUCGGCAAUGGACGGAAGUCUGACCGAGUAACGCCGCGUGAGUGAAGAAGGUUUUCGGAUCGUAAAGCUCUGUUGUAAGAGAAGAACGAGUGUGAGAGUGGAAAGUUCACACUGUGACGGUAUCUUACCAGAAAGGGACGGCUAACUACGUG
rnacentral:rRNA from 1 species